rnacentral:hammerhead_ribozyme from 1 species
GCAUUACUGAGGAGUCCCACAAUAGGACGAAACAGCUGUUCAGUGC